GAUGAACGCUGGCGGCGUGCCUAAUACAUGCAAGUCGAGCGCGAAGAUCAGGAGCUUGCUCCUGAGAUUUGAGCGGCGGACGGGUGAGUAACACGUAGGCAACCUACCCUUGAGAUUGGGAUAACUACCGGAAACGGUAGCUAAUACCGGAUACGACUUUUCCACAUAAGUGGAACUGUUAAAAGGCGGAUUUAUCUGCCGCUCAUGGAUGGGCCUGCGGUGCAUUAGCUAGUUGGUGAGAUUGUAGCUCACCAAGGCGACGAUGCAUAGCCGACCUGAGAGGGUGAUCGGCCACACUGGGACUGAGACACGGCCCAGACUCCUACGGGAGGCAGCAGUAGGGAAUCUUCCGCAAUGGACGAAAGUCUGACGGAGCAACGCCGCGUGAGUGAUGAAGGGUUUCGGCUCGUAAAACUCUGUUGUUAAGGAAGAACACUUGAGGUAGUAACUGGCCUUGAGAUGACGGUACUUAACCAGAAAGCCACGGCUAACUACGUGCCAGCCGCCGCGGUAA
rnacentral:rRNA from 1 species